UCUCUUGUAGCUCAGUUGGUAAAGAAUCUGCCUGCAAUGCAGGAAACCCAGGUUCGACCCCUGGGUUGGGAA
rnacentral:tRNA from 1 species